rnacentral:rRNA from 1 species
UAAGGAUACUGCCAGUGACAAACUGGAGGAAGGCGGGGACGACGUCAAGUCAUCAUGGCCCUUACGGCCAGGGCUACACACGUGCUACAAUGGUCGGUACAAAGGGUUGCUACACAGCGAUGUGAUGCUAAUCUCAAAAAGCCGAUCGUAGUCCGGAUUGGAGUCUGCAACUCGACUCCAUGAAGUCGGAAUCGCUAGUAAUCGCGGAUCAGAAUGCCGCGGUGAAUACGUUCCCGGGCCUUGUACACACCGCCCGUCACACCAUGGGAGUUUGUUGCACCAGAAGUAGCUAGCCUAACUGCAAAGAGGGCGGUU